GAGCAACACAGGCUGAGGCCUGGCGGGGAAAGGGAGCAUCCAAAGCUUGCCUCAGUGCUUGUGCAUGAAGCCUGCCUGGUCACUCAGCCCCCUAGACUCUCUCUUUCUCUCUCUCUGCUCCAACCCUAACAUCUCAUGUUGUAUCAUUUAUUGGGCAUUGCCCUGGACAAUGCAGUGAGCCAGCUCUCCAAUGUGUGAGUGCUGAGACCUCAGGCAAGUGGUUUUCCUUCUCAGGGAAGGGGCUCUGGUGCCCAUAGCAACAAUUCAUGUGUAAUAAGAGCUCAAGAGUCAUUUGCUUACAAAAUAAUUCUUGAGUGCCUACAACUUGAGUGCCAGGCUCUUUUCUGGGCAAAAGGGAGGCAGCUGUGAACAAGACAGACCAGGCUAUGUUUCCUGGAACUAUAGUACAUUCUAUGAGAGAAGGUUAUGCAAUAAAUAAAUGAACACAUACGUGAAAGAUAAUAUAGUGCCACGCAGAGAAUAACAAUGGCUGAGACUGAAUGAUAACUAUCUACUGAACCAAUUAAUGAACAAAAGAGAAGUAGGAAGGAAGACUUUCUGAAAACCAUAUUCCCGGGAGGUAUAGAAUUCAAACAGGGAGCCCAAGGGCUGAGACGACACACCAAAGUAUACUCUAAGAUCUAAGAAGACUUCCUGGAGAAGGUGAGUUUUGCUCACCUUGGACUUGCAAACGUGAUUAGACAGCUUGGCUUUUUGCUUAAGCGAUGACCUGAAGAGAAGGCUCUGUGUCAACAGAUGCUUAUUGAGCAGAUGCUCUGGGCUGAGCUGGCUGAGGACAGGAGGAUGGUGACAGAAGACCAUCCUCACCCUCUGAAGGCUCACAGUCCAGAAAUGGGAGAUUUCUUUCUCCUAAACACAUACCCAAAGAGAUUCCUCCUCAGCUGAAGUAGGAGGAGGAAGCAGCAGCAGCAGAAGGAGGAGGAAGAGGAAGAGGAGGAAGAGGAAAGAGGAGGAG